rnacentral:rRNA from 1 species
GACAGAGGGUGCAAACGUUGUUCGGAAUUACUGGGCGUAAAGCGCGUGUAGGCGGCUAAGUAAGUCGGGCGUGAAAUCCCACGGCUCAACCGUGGAAGUGCAUUCGAAACUGCAGGGCUAGAGUCCUGGAGAGGAAGGUGGAAUGCUUGGUGUAGAGGUGAAAUUCGUAGAUAUCAAGCGGAACACCGGUGGCGAAGGCGGCCUUCUGGACAGUGACUGGACGCUGAGACGGCGAAAGCGUGGGGAGCAAACAGGG